rnacentral:rRNA from 1 species
GUUGGUGGGGUAACGGCUCACCAAGGCGACGAUCGGUAGCUGGUCUGAGAGGACGGCCAGCCACACGGGGACUGAGACACGGCCCCCGACUCCUACGGGAGGCAGCAGCAAGGAAUUUUGCGCAAUGGGCGAAAGCCUGACGCAGCAACGCCGCGUGGGGGAUGAAGGCCUUCGGGUCGUAAACCCCUUUUGCAGGGGAAGCAACUGACGGUACCCUGCGAAUAAGCCACGGCUAACUACGUGCCAGCAGCCGCGGUAAUACGUAGGUGGCAAGCGUUGUCCGGAUUUACUGGGCGUAAAGCGCGCGCAGGCGGCUCGCCAAGUCUGGGGUGAAAUCUCCCGGCUCAACCGGGAGAGGUCUCUGGAUACUGGCGGGCUUGAGGAGAGCAGAGGAGAGUGGAAUUCCCGGUGUAGCGGUGAUAUGCGUAGAUAUCGGGAGGAACACCAGUGGCGAAGGCGGCUCUCUGGGCUCUUCCUGACGCUGAGGCGCGAAAGCGUGGGGAGCGAACCGGAUUAGAUACCCGGGUAGUCCACGCUGUAAACGUUGGGCACUAGGUGUGGGAGGUAUUGACCCCUUCCGUGCCGCAGUUAACGCGAUAAGUGCCCCGCCUGGGGAGUACGGCC